ensembl:lncRNA
AAAAGAAAGAAACCACCAGCACUGAAAACAUGGGCAGGCGAUGUUUGAAAUGUGGAAAGGGAAGAGGCUCAGACUACACCGUAAAGGUGGGCGACUUGUCACACCUGGAACCCGUCCCCCCUGUCCCCCUCCACGCAGCAGCCAUGUCGGCACCAAUAGGCGGGAAGCGAACCCAUACCUGCUCCAACGUGGUCUUCCUCGUGGCGACGCGGAGGCGCGAUGGAUCCAGAACCUCAGCAGGACGCCUUCUACUCUUUCAUACGAGACUCUUCGAGGCGCACACGCCCUGUGCUGUAGACGCGUCCCAAGACGUUUUCUCUCGAAAUGGACUUAUUCUGUCUAUUGUGUUUUAAUAACAGAUUGUUUACAAUUUUUCUUUUUUAUGAUUUGAGUAAUAAACUUGAGUAAUUAGGAAAUGUUUAUUUAAGCUUAGAAAUAUUUAACUGUAUACAUGAAAUUAGGCCAUAAGCCAUACUUGCUGUUCUUUGUUAAUUUAUGAAGUAAGCACUUGUAUCUAGCAAACAUACAUGUUGCAAUAGAUAGUUUGAUGCAACUCCAAAUGUUAUCAUUUCAUAUAGAUAGAAAAAAAAUAGUACAGAAAGAGCUCUAAUAUUUUGUCUGACUUUUAAGCAGGUUCAUUAAGCUGAUUGUUAAAUUAUUUCAUUCAUUACUCCAUUCGGACAGGUUUAAUUUAGCUUGACAAAAUGCGAUCACCCUUUCUUUUGAAUGCACAAUAAAAAAUGACCUCUGAAAAUGAUGUGCUUUAGAAGAUUCAUUGAUUGCAGAAUGAUUCCAUGAAUUCUGUUCUAUUCUAACUUCAUGCCAAGUUCUGAAAAUGUACUCCAGACUUGUGAGUGUUAGAGUGUCAUUUAUGAUUAUAAUAAAUUCAUUGCUUAGAUUUUGCCUUGUACUUUUUUAUGCAUGCUGAAUAUUUAUGCUGUCACUUGCUCAGUUGAAUGCCAUUGGUUGAAUUGAUUAAUGAAGGUCUGCAAUUGUGUUUAUUUUUUCACAAC